rnacentral:rRNA from 1 species
UACGUAGGAGGCAAGCGUUGUCCGGAGUUACUGGGCGUAAAGCGCACGCAGGCGGUCGCAUAGUCUGGGGUGACAGUUCCCGGCUUAACCGGAAAAGGACUCUGGAAACUGUGCGACUUGAGGGCUUCAGAGGGAUGUGGAAUUCCAGGUGGAGUGGUGAAAUGCGUAGAGAUCUGGAAGAACACAAAGGCGAAGGCAGCAUCCUGGGAAGUUCCUGACGCUCGGGUGCGAAAGCCAGGGGAGCGAACGGG